CCUACGGGGGGCAGCAGUAGGGAAUCUUCCGCAAUGGACGAAAGUCUGACGGAGCAACGCCGCGUGAGUGAUGAAGGCUUUCGGGUCGUAAAACUCUGUUGUUAGGGAAGAACAAGUACAAGAGUAACUGCUUGUACCUUGACGGUACCUAACCAGAAAGCCACGGCUAACUACGUGCCAGCAGCC
rnacentral:rRNA from 1 species